rnacentral:misc_RNA from 1 species
GAUGAAGAACGUAGCGAAAUGCGAUAAGUAAUGUGAAUUGCAGAAUUCAGUGAAUCAUCGAAUCUUUGAACGCACCUUGCGCUCCUUGGUAUUCCGAGGAGCAUGCCUGUUUGAGUGUCAUGAAAUUCUCAACCUUUUCAGCUUUCUUUGUUGAUCAGGCUUGGAUGUGGGAGUAUGCGGGCUUCUCAGAAGUCGGCUCUCCUGAAAUGCAUUAGCGGGACCUUUGUUGCCUGGCUUUGGUGUGAUAAUUAUCUACGCCAUUGUAGUCAAGCAGCUUAAAAUGAGGUUUCAGCUUCUAACCGUCUCCCCUGAGACAACUUUUUGACAAUUUGACCUCAAAUCAGGUAGGACUACCAGCUGAACUUAAGCAUAUCAAUAAGCGGAGGA